CAGUGGCCGGGCUCGCGCUGGCUUUAUAGCAGCUGCGGAUCAGCUGACGCGCCGCAUUGCAGACUGAGCUGUAUCGUGGGCGGUCAUGCAGCUGUUCUUGUUUCCCUGCCUGCUGGUGGUUGCUGUGGCAAGCCCUCUCUUAUGGCAGAAAGAUUGUGUGAAAGGUCCUGAGGUAUGGUGUCAGAAUCUGCGGACUGCAUCGCAGUGUGGAGCUCUGAAACACUGUCAGCAAACUGUUUGGAAUAAACCUACAGUG